rnacentral:rRNA from 1 species
CAAAAAAUAUAGCCCCCACCCCCUGUCUUUUAAAUUACUGAUUAAAAUAUUUUAACAGUCCAGUAAAGAAGAUUAAAAAACUUCCAAGAGCUAUAAACCUGUACCGCAAGGGAAAUAUGAAAUAAAAAUGAAAUAAAUUUUAAGCACAAAAAAGUAAAGAUUAAAUCUUGUACCUUUUGCAUCAUGGUUUAGCUAGUCUAAUUAGGCGAAAAGAUUUUAAGUCUAACCCCCCGAAACUAAGUGAGCUAAUUUAGGGCUGCUUACUGAGCUAAUCCGUCUAUGUUGCAAAAUAGUGGAAUGACCCUAAAAUAGAGGUGAUAAACCUAACGAACUUAGCAAUAGCUGGUUUCUCAAGAAAAGAAUUUUAGUUCCCCCUAAAGUAACUCAAAAAUCUAUUAAUUGUCCCAUCCCUUUAGAGUAAUUCAAACGAGGUACAGCCCGUUUGACACAGGAUACAACCUUUACUAACGGGUAAUAAUAAAUUUAAAAUCCUAAGUCGGCUUAAGAGCAGCCACCUUUUAAAAAGCGUCAAAGCUUAAUCCCAAAUACAAAAUUCCUACAUUUACAUUAACCCCUUUAAUCGUAUUGAGAACUUCUAUAAUUUUAUAGAACUUUUUAUGCUAAAACUAGUAACAAGAGAAAACCCUCUCCCAAACGCAAGUAGAAGCCAGAAGAACCCAUCACUGGCAUAAUAACAGACUUCAAAGAAGCAACCCUUCCAGAAAACUCUUCUACCUUAACUGUCAAUCUUACACCAGGGCGUUUCGAGAAAGAUUAAAAGAAAAAGAAGGAACUCGGCAAAAACUAGCCCCGCCUGUUUACCAAAAACAUCGCCUCUUGAAUUUAUUAGAGGUCCAGCCUGCCCAGUGACUCCUGUUUAACGGCCGCGGUAUUCUAACCGUGCAAAGGUAGCGUAAUCACUUGUUUUCUAAAUAAAGACUAGUAUGAAAGGCACCACGAGGACUAAACUGUCUCCUUUUUCCAAUCAGUGAACCUAAUCUCCCCGUGAAGAAGCGGGGAUUUCAAUAUAAGACGAGAAGACCCUGUGGAGCUUAAAACAUCUAAACAUCUGCUUCAUCUUCCAUCACUCAGGUAUAUUACCCCCCCCUUGCAAUUUGAUUUAAUGUUUUUGGUUGGGGUGACCGCGGAAAAAAACAGAUCCUCCGCAAUGAAAGGGAAUUCCCUAAACUGUAAGUCACAACUUUACGUAUCAAAAAAUUGACACCAUCGACCCAAUAGUUGAUCAAUGAACCAAGUUACCCCAGGGAUAACAGCACAAUCCACUUCAAGAGUUCAUAUCGACAAGUGGGCUUAUGACCUCGAUGUUGGAUCGGGAUAUCCUAGUGGUGCAGCCGCUAC